rnacentral:rRNA from 1 species
GACGAACGCUGGCGGCGUGCUUAACACAUGCAAGUCGAACGAUGAAGCCCAGCUUGCUGGGUGGAUUAGUGGCGAACGGGUGAGUAACACGUGAGUAACCUGCCCUGGACUCUGGGAUAAGCGUUGGAAACGACGUCUAAUACCGGAUAGGACCUUUCACCGCAUGGUGGGGGGUGGAAAGUUUUUCGGUUUGGGAUGGACUCGCGGCCUAUCAGCUUGUUGGUGAGGUAAUGGCUCACCAAGGCGUCGACGGGUAGCCGGCCUGAGAGGGUGACCGGCCACACUGGGACUGAGACAUGGCCCAGACUCCUACGGGAGGCAGCAGUGGGGAAUAUUGCACAAUGGGCGCAAGCCUGAUGCAGCAACGCCGCGUGCGGGAUGACGGCCUUCGGGUUGUAAACCGCUUUUGUCCAGGAAGAAGCCUUCGGGUGACGGUACUGGGAGAAAAAGGACCGGCUAACUACGUGCCAGCAGCCGCCGUAACAC